rnacentral:rRNA from 1 species
AUUGAACGCUGGCGGCAGGCUUAACACAUGCAAGUCGAGCGAGCGGCGGACGGGUGAGUAAUGUCUGGGAAACUGCCUGCUGGAGGGGGAUAACUACUGGAAACGGUACUUAAUACCCCAUCCCAUCAUCUGUGCCCAAAUUGGAUUAGCUAGGAGGUGGGGUAAUGGCUCACCUAGGCGACGAGCCCUAGCUGGUCUGAGAGGAUGACCAGCCACACUGGAACUGAGACACGGUCCAGACUCCUACGGGAGGCAGCAGUGGGGAAUAUUGCACAAUGGGCGCAAGCCUGAUGCAGCCAUGCCGCGUGUGUGAAGAAGGCCUUCGGGUUGUAAAGCACUUUCAGCGAGGAGGCGUUACUCGCAGAAGAAGCACCGGCUAACUCCGUGCCAGCAGCCGCGGUAAUUC